UACGGAGGGGGCUAGCGUUGUUCGGAAUUACUGGGCGUAAAGCGCACGUAGGCGGCGAUUCAAGUCAGAGGUGAAAGCCCGGGGCUCAACCCCGGAACUGCCUUUGAAACUAGAUCGCUAGAAUCUUGGAGAGGUCAGUGGAAUUCCGAGUGUAGAGGUGAAAUUCGUAGAUAUUCGGAAGAACACCAGUGGCGAAGGCGACUGACUGGACAAGUAUUGACGCUGAGGUGCGAAAGCGUGGGGAGCAAACAGG
rnacentral:rRNA from 1 species